rnacentral:lncRNA from 1 species
GGUAACGCUCGCAAACAGAAGAAACAGUCGAAACAGUCCAGGUCACGCUCGCGACAUUAGUUGGGCCGACUGAGAAACAGCCCAACUAGGAGUGGGUGCAGGCGCCACUUCUCGUAAUCGGCGCAGAAGGCGCCGAUUAGGAGCUCCCCCACAAACCACGGCCGCCCACACGGGGUUGCCGGCGGCUCGCCGCAGUUGCGCCAUUCGCCUCCGCCGUUUGUUUCUCCACCACCAGGCCGCGGCAGGCCACGAGAUGUCGAGAGAGGUAUGCUGCUUCCUCCGAGGCUCCACCCGCAACUAGGAUUGUGGUCUUGUUGAUAUAUGCCUGCAAAUCUAUGGCCUCAGUAUAUUAACCAGCAACAUAAUCUAAUACUCCCUUUGUUCCAAAAUAAGUGUCUCAACUUUAGUACAAAAUUGAGACAUUUAUUUUGGGACGGAGGAAGUAUAUUGUAGGCUUAGAAGACUUCACCUAAAUAGUAUUAUGUCUAAUCCCAUCCGUAUAAUGUCUAAUCAUGACAAAGUAACAUAAUAACCAUGAUAUAAUGUCUAAUCCCAUCCGUAUACCCUCAAUGUAUAAUGGUAUGAUGUAUGCAUUGCAUUGGAAACUAAAGGUGAACAUGUAAUCCAUGCAACGGCCCCGCGUGAGAGAAAAAGGACAGGAUGCUAGCCAAGAACAACUUGCCGGAAAAUAUCGGCAUUGAUUCAAAGGAGGGAUGCAUACCCUCACCAUGAAGCAUACAUGCACAUACCCGGCAAGUCAUCCUUGGCUACAUUCUGCCCUCUAUCUCGAUUCACGUACGGCCAUUGAUGGUAUAACUCGUAACUGUUAUUGGGUGGCAUGAAUCACCGAAACUGAACUUCUCUAGGAUGCACACAGCUAGAGGUAUGAUGUGUGUAUAUAUGCAGUCCUGCUGGCUGCUGCUUGCUAUAUAAGAUGUGUAUGUGUG